UUUCCGGUUGAUCCUGCCGGACCCCACUGCUAUCGGGGUGGGACUAAAACAUGCGAGUCGAGCGCCUUCAAGCUAUGGUGAAGGCGCGGCGAACGGCUCAGUAACACGUGGCUAACCUACCCUUUGGACGGGGACAACCCCGGGAAACUGGGCCUAAUCCCCGAUAGAUGAGAAGUCCUGGAAUGGUUUCUCAUCUAAAAGGUGUUUAGACCAUGCUUUUCAACGUUGCCUAAGGAUGGGGCCGCGUCCGAUCAGGUUGUUGGUGAGGUAACGGCCCACCAAGCCUAUAACCGGUACGGGCCGUGGGAGCGGAAGCCCGGAGAUGGGCACUGAGACAAGGGCCCAGGCCCUACGGGGCGCAGCAGUCGCGAAAACUCCGCAAUGCGCGAAAGCGUGACGGGGCUACCCCGAGUGCCGUCCGCUGAGGAUGACUUUUCCCCGGUGUAAUGAGCCGGGGGAAUAAGGAGAGGGCAAGCCUGGUGUCAGCCGCCGCGGUAAUACCAGCUCUCCGAGUGGUAGGGACUAUUAUUGGGCUUAAAGCGUCCGUAGCCGGCCCGGCAAGUCUCCCGUUAAAUCCAGCGACCUAAUCGUUGGGCUGCGGAAGAUACUGUUGGGCUAGGGGGCGGGAGAGGCCGACGGUAUCCCCGGGGUAGGGGUGAAAUCCUAUAAUCCCGGGAGGACCACCAGUGGCGAAGGCUGUCGGCUAGAACGCGCUCGACGGUGAGGGACGAAAGCUGGGGGAGCGAACCGGAUUAGAUACCCGGGUAGUCCCAGCUGUAAACGAUGCGGGCUAGGUGUUGGGGUGGCUACGAGCCACUUCAGUGCCGCAGGGAAGCCAUUAAGCCCGCCGCCUGGGGAGUACGGCCGCAAGGCUGAAACUUAAAAGGAAUUGGCGGGGGAGCAC
rnacentral:rRNA from 1 species